AAGCGUUCGUUCAUUUUCGUGGACGGUCGUUCGUUUUGGUAGCAGGCUCUUGACCGAACGUCCAAAGCUGGCUGCAUUUUAAAUUGAUAUGUCACGGAAGAUUCCCACCUUCGGCUGCCGCUUCCCGCCAUUAACCAUCUGAAGAGCCACUUACUGUAUGGGUCUCUGGAAAUUAAAAAAAGAAGCAGAGAAUAUUCCUGGCUCACUUCCACUUGUCUUCCACAUGCGCCCACAUGGAACCUCUGCUGAUUCCGUCUGCCAUCUGAAACGCGGGCAACGCCCUGCCUCCCACUCACCUUUGCUCCCACUUACCUUCAACACCCUGGUUUCCACUCAACACCCAGACUGGUAGCACAUGAUCAAGCACACCACACGGUCAAGAAAAUAGGCCACUCACAGUAUGGGUUGAUGCGUGUUAAAAGAGGAAGAGAAUCAUUUCUGGAUUUUUUUUUUGGAGUUUGUCAUCCACGGGCAGGGCAUCUUCCCAUCUGGCACUUCUGUAGUGCCCAUCUGGCUUUUCUGAAAAGCCUGCUACACCAUUGAAGGGAGGGGAACUGGACUUCACGGCCCACACUCUGGAUCUCUCGGGAAUUAUCUCCAGGACCUGGGGAAACUGAUAGGGUCUUCUCUUCAUUUUUUUUUUUUUUUUGUUAUCACCAAUAGACAUGACCAGGAACCCAUUUUGGAACCCACCAUGUAUUCAUCCCUAACACCUCUCGGCCAACAAGAGACCUUUCUGUUUUCAUCUUCACCAUAUACCACGGCAAGCACUUGAAAUCUUUUCUUCCUGAGGAGUUUGUCUUCCUCACGGGUCAGCCAUUAAAAGUCGCCUUCAUCUCCAUCACCAAUCUCUCCGCAUUCAACAAGUUCCAACACCUGUCCUUGGCCUGUCACGAUGAUCCCUUCACAACACCACUGACCCCUCUCUGAUCACCUUCAUCCUUACGCAUAGCCCAUAUCAUCAUCAUCAAUAUUCCCACACAGCCAACGACCCACGGCCUACACUCCCGACCCUUCAUCAUUCAUCAGCUAACGACACGAAGAAGGAGUAGAGGCUAUGUUCAGAAAGGAGGAUAAGUGAGGAGCAUUGAUUGUCGACUACAAGCGAGAGCAGAGUGCGAAAUCGGUCCAUAGAGAUCAAUCCAAGGAAGAAAGAGGGAGCGGAUUAGGAAAAGGAUUAUCCAUUGUUGGGGGCAAACCUUACGGUUCAGCGGAGACCUGAGGGGAGAGGCGCAUAGAGUUCAACAACAGAGGAAGGAGCUCCAAGAGAGAGGAAGGAUGAGCGAGAUGGAGAUGAAGAGGUACACCAGUCAGCGGUGGCGACCUACUGACGAUCAGGUCAAAAUGAUGACCAAUAUCUACAAUUAUGGGGUCACACACCCAAGCAGAGCGCAAGUCAUCGAGAUCGCGUCUCGACUAAGGACCUUCGCAGAUGCCAGCGAAUACAACGUGCACUGCUGGUUCAACAACCACGGCAAUCGGGUCAGGCGUUGGCAAGCGGAGAUAGAUCCCACUGGCACUCUCUUUUCACAACUGCCGCUAUAUAUGUACGAAUAUGACUGGGUAAUCAUGAGGGCGCCGAGGCUGCUGGACUUGUUCCCCGUUCCGAUCAUCAUCGACGACGAUAGGGACGAACGACAAAUCCCUCCACCCAUGCUUCUCACAUUCCGAACCAGAGCUCAUUCGACGGAGCUCUCCCUUAGACCACCACAACCAGCUCGGGAAUUUUUUCGAUGAAAAUUUUUUUAUUUUUAUUUCAAGGUCUGUAACUUAACGAUCACCCGUGAUCGAACCACGAACAUUGUUUAUUUGCUUUGCUUCCGUUUUCUUUUGCUGCUCUUUUUUUUUAUUUGAAAUUGUGACUUUGCACCUUUUUUGUU